AUGCCGAUGGCCGCCCCGCAACCUCGCCGCCACCAGUCGGCGUUCCUCCGCAGCAAGCCUCCUGCCCCCGCCAAUGGGAAGCCCGCCGCCGCCUCCUCCAAGCCCAAGUCGCCCGCCUCGCCCGCCCAUUCGUCCUUGGAGGAGAGGACGGUGAAGCAGCUCGGGCUGACCAAGGCGCUGACGCUCCCGGAGGCCACCGCGGUGUCGGAGGCGUGCAGGAGGAUGGCCGCCAGGCGCGCCGACGCCAAAGGGGUGCUCUCAGGUAUCGUCACGCCCGAGGACAUAUCGGGUGGAGUGAUAGCUGAGGGUCUCAGGCCUGACGCAACCAGUGUGGCAAAGGUGAUGACACACAACCCAGUUUUUGUCAUGUCCAACUCACCGGCCACCGAGGCACUGCAGAAGAUGGUCCAAGGCAAAUUUAGGCAUCUUCCUGUAGUAGAACAUGGUGAGGUCAUUGCCAUGUUGGACAUUACCAAGUUCCUCUGUGAUGCAAUUUCAAGAAUGGAGAAGGCAGCCGAACAAGGCAGUGCUAUAGCAGCUGCUAUGGAAGGGGUCGAACAGCAGUGGGGAACUGAAUUUGCAGGUCCGCACGCAUUCAUAGAAAAUCUUCGAGAUCACAUGUUCAAGCCUUCCUUGUCAACUAUCAUUACUGAAAAUAGCAGUGUUCCAGCGGUGUCUGCUUCAGAUCUAGUAACUGUAGCUGCCAAAAAGAUGAGAGAGCACCGAGUUAACUCGGUGGUUGUCAUGACAGGGAACAUCUUACAAGGAAUUAUCACAUAUUCUGAUUUGGUUUUGCGAGUAGUGGCACAAAGUCUGUCCCCAGAGGCGACACUCGUAGAAAAGGUGAUGACGGCAAGCCCUGGCUGUGCUACACUGGACACAUCAAUCCUCGAGGCUCUGCAAUCAAUGCAAGAUAGAAAAUUUCGUCAUAUUCCUGUUGUAGACAAAAGAGGACAGGUUAUCGCCUGUUUGGAUGCUCUACAGUUAACCCACACCGCCAUCUCCAUGGCUGAGGGAGCAUCUGGACCAGACGGCGUGGCAAAUACUAUGAUUCAGAAGUUUUGGGUCUUGCAUCCUGCAGAGUAUGACUUGCAUAGUGAAGAAUCUCGUACAGCAGCAUCAGACAGUGCUGAAGGAAAGCAUACACCCCCUCCCCCUCAUGUUGGAAACGCAUUCUCUUUCAGAUUUGAAGAUAGAAAAGGGCGGAUGCAACGAUUCAGUUGCGUUUCGGAAAGCUUAGACGAGCUUGUGUCUGCUAUUGCAUACAGAUUAGGAACAGAAAACGACAAGGCGAAUGUAAACCUUCUGUACAAUGACGAUGAAGGUGACAGAGUACUUCUGGCUACCGACGCCGACCUGGUUGCAGCAAUUGAACAUGCCAGAUCAGCAGGAUGGAAGGUUCUGAGGCUGCACAUGGACGACGGGUCAAAGAUCAGUGCAGAUCCCACACCGGCGUCGUCUGUGGAUACCUCAGCAGCAAGGAGAAGCUGGCCGUCCCUCCGGCUAGGUACAGUGGCCAGUGCAGCUGCUAUUGCCGGCGUCGGGGCAAUCGUCUACUUGAGAUGCUCUCGGCAAUGA
rnacentral:rRNA from 1 species